GAUGAACGCUGGCGGCGUGCUUAACACAUGCAAGUCGAACGGAAAGGCCCAAGCUUGCUUGGGUACUCGAGUGGCGAACGGGUGAGUAACACGUGGGUGAUAUGCCCUGCACUUCGGGAUAAGCCUGGGAAACUGGGGCGAUUACCGGAGAGAACCUCAUUUUGGAUGGGGUGGUGGAAAGUUUUUCGGUGUGGGAUGAGCUCGUGGCCGAUCAGCUUGUUGGUGGGGUAAUGGCCUACCAAGGCGUCGACGGGUAGCCGGCCUGAGAGGGUGUAGGGCCACAUUGGGACUGUGAGACGGGCCAGACUCCUACGGGAGGCAGCAGUGGGGAAUAUUGGACAAUGGGCGCAAGCCUGAUGCAGCGACGCCGCGUGGGGGAUGAAGGCCUUCGGGUUGUAAACUCCUUUCGCUAGGGACGAAGCGUUUUUGUGACGGUACCUGGAGAAGAAGCACCGGCUAACUACGUG
rnacentral:rRNA from 1 species